AUUGAACGCUGGCGGCAGGCCUAACACAUGCAAGUCGAGCGGAUGAGUGGAGCUUGCUCCAUGAUUCAGCGGCGGACGGGUGAGUAAUGCCUAGGAAUCUGCCUGGUAGUGGGGGACAACGUUUCGAAAGGAACGCUAAUACCGCAUACGUCCUACGGGAGACAGUGGGGGAUCUUCGGACCUCACGCUAUCAGAGGAGCCUAGGUCGGAUUGGCUAGUUGGUGAGGUAAAGGCUCACCAAGGCGACGAUCCGUAACUGGUCUGAGAGGAUGAUCAGUCACACUGGAACUGAGACACGGUCCAGACUCCUACGGGAGGCAGCAGUGGGGAAUAUUGGACAAUGGGCGAAAGCCUGAUCCAGCCAUGCCGCGUGUGUGAAGAAGGUCUUCGGAUUGUAAAGCACUUUAAGUUGGGAGGAAGGGCAGUAAGUUAAUACCUUGCUGUUUUGACGUUACCAACAGAAUAAGCACCGGCUAACUUCGUGCCAGCCGCCGCCGUAAGAC
rnacentral:rRNA from 1 species